ACCGAGGGCCGCCGAGCGCAAGAGAAAAUCAUAUAAUGAAGGUGGAUGUAUCCAUUACCCAGCUUCCAUAUCAACUCAGGACAAGUCUUGUUUCAACCAUACUCCCUCAUCUACUGUGUGUGUCUGUAAAAGAUAAGAACUAUUUUCAAAAAGUAGCCACAAUACCAUUAUCAUACCUAAAAAAACAAUAAUUCUUUAAUAUCAUUAAAUGCCCAGUGAGUGAUUUCCAGUUAUCUCCUAAAAACAGAAAUUAUUUUUGUAAUAAGAAAAAAAAGGCUGAAAAAGAUAAAAUUGUCAAUCCAAAGAGCAGAUUAGUACAAGUUUCCUGGAGCUUUGUUUAGUGAUACUUAUCAAGAGCCUUAACAAUGUGCUUACCUUUUGCCCUAGUAAUCCCAACCUGUGAAUUUAUUCUAAGAAGAAAAAAGAACAUUGAAGAGGUAUACAAACAUUGUUCACUAGAGUGUGCAGUGUCUGUUACAGAGAAGUUGUUUGAAAACUAUUUGUUGAGGCCAGAUGUGGUGGCUUACAUCUGUAAUACUAGUACUUUGGGAGACUGAGGCAGGAGGAUUGCUUGAGGCCAGGAGUUCCAGACCAGCCUGAGCAACAUAGCAAUACCCCAUCUCUACAAAAACAUUUUUUAAAAAUUAGCCAGGCAUGGUGGCUCAUGCCCAUAAUUCUAACUACUUGGGAGGCCAAGACAGGAGGGUUGCUUGAACCUAGGAUUUCAAGGCUAUAGUGAGCUGUGAUCACAUCACUAAAACUCCAGCCUGGAUGACAGAGCAAGACCCUAUCUCAAAAGAAAAAAAAACAAACCACAAUUUUUUUUGAAUUUGAAGUUGAGCUCCUGCUGUGGUUUGCAGCUUUGUUUGUAAAAGAAAAGCUGAAAGUCAUGGAAGUGUGUGACAUUAGGGUACUGGCUAAAUAAAUGAGGGCAGAUCCAUAAAAUGAAACAUUGUUCUGUCAUGUAAAAUCAGAUUCUAAUAAUACACAUAGAUAACCACCGCUUCCAAGAGGCAGAACUUCAUCCUCAUCCUCUAAUGGACUAUGGAAAGAAGAAAAACAGUCCUUUUACAGUGAAGAAACUCAGCAGAUGCUCCCUCAACAUCGCUGGUGGUAAGUCUUGUGGCUACUGGGUACCCCCUGAUACAAUGACAGGGGCACCUCACCUCUGUGAUCUUUUACCCAAAAACUAAUAACCUCAGUCUCAUGAGAAAAACAUCAGACAAACUCAGAUGAGGGGCAUUCUACAAAAUACGUGAGCAGCACUCUUCGAAUGUGUCAAGGUCGUGAAAAACAAGAAAAGACUCAGAACUGUUAGGGACCAGAGGAGCCUCAGGAGAUGACGGAGACUGAAUGCCAUGUGGGAUGCCGGAUGAGAUCAUGGAACAGAAAAAGGGCAUUAGUGGGAAACUGGCGAAAUCCUAAUAGAGUCUGUCGUCCAGCUAAUAAUGUUUUACUAAUGUUAACUUUUUAGUUUUGACAAAUGUAGCAUGAUUAUGUAAGAUGUUCACAUUAGGGGAAGGUGGGGGAAGAGUAUGGGAACUUUGUGGAACUUUGCUGUAAAUCUAAAAUCACUAAACAAAAAUUAUUCAAAAAAUCAGGGUGUAGAUAUUUAUUAGUAUAGAAAUGUAUUCACAACAUAUUAAGGGGAAAGUAUGUAUGGCCUCACAUAGUUUUUGCUGAAUGAGACCGUAUUUGUAAAAACUCUAAUAACAAGGUGUAUGUCUACAUGAAUGUGUAUAUAUGCACAUGUAGGCUGGGCACGGUGGCUCAUGCCUGUAAUCCC
rnacentral:lncRNA from 1 species